rnacentral:lncRNA from 1 species
AGAAGCUUUUAUGUGGAAAUGCUUGAGAGAUUGUUACUGUGUGCUGAUGUGAAAAAAGGCAUUUAUUUUCAUUUCAGCAGUUGAAAAGAUAGUUUUCUGUGAUGCCCUUCAAAAGGCAGUGUUUUCUUUUGCUUGUGUGAAAUUACAGUAAAUCCUUGGCAUAACUUCCUCUUGUGAGUGGUGUGUUCACAGUAAAUCAUUUCCCGCAGCUGGCUGUCCUGGGGAUCACAAAACUGUUUCAAGUUCUGCAGGUACCUACUAGGCAUUCCCAGUGGAAAUGGAACAUUUUGUGCAAAUGUAUUUAGAAAACAGGACAAAUUCUCAGUAAUCUUUGCUAUGCAGAUUGCUCUUUUGGUAAAAUAACAUCCAGGCUGCGUUAAACCUCGCAGUUUAACGCGAGUUGCUUUGUGUACAGUUUUUUACUCUUAAUUUCACAAAGGGCACUGGCAGACUGUUGAUUUCUUGUCCAGGUGAUUAAUUUCCCCCAGCUGCUGCAUACACAGGGACAUUCCUGGCUUUAACCUCUCCAUUUGCUCCGUAGGAUUCCCAAGGACGGCAGAAAGGAGCGCGCGGUCACCCCCCCUGCCCCAGCCAUGGGCUGCUCUGUGACGUGUUCAUGGUGCAAAUAAACCAGAACGGUGGGAGAAGAGCCUGUGCCUCAUUCUGCUGUCCUGAUAACCUCCAGCAAAAGAUUAAGAGAGCAACAGGGGACAACAAUUUUCCAGUAAUUCUCCCUCCAAUGUUAAAAAUAUCUCUUGUUGCGUGGUGCUGACUGCAGAGUGCUGAUGCUUCAAUGGGAUGAUUUUUGCCUCUUCCAUGCAAGAGCUCCAGGAACAGAACCCAAGCACAUGAGGAAUGUGCAGAGGGAUCCCUGUGCAGCCAGUGACAGAGCUGAAUGGGGGAAUGUGCUCACUUUCCUGCCAGAUCACUAAUUGGGUAAGUGUGGCUGCUCAGGGUGUUUCUGCAGCAGCAGCUCUGGCUGUGGAACUUGUCUCAUUAAAGAUUUUACUGUUUGUAUUCCACAAGUCAUGAAUUCUCCAGCUGGGGUUGGGACUUUGAUAAAUUGUCAUUUUUUAUGCUUGAAAUAUAACUUUAUUGCCC